AACAGGAUUAGAUACCCUGGUAGUCCACGCCGUAAACGAUGAGUACUAGGUGUCGGGGGUUACCCCCCUCGGUGCCGCAGCUAACGCAUUAAGUACUCCGCCUGGGGAGUACGGCCGCAAGGUUGAAACUCAAAGGAAUUGACGGGGGCCCGCACAAGCAGUGGAUUAUGUGGUUUAAUUCGAAGCAACGCGAAAAACCUUACCAGGGCUUGACAUCCAACUAACGAAGCAGAAAUGCAUUAAGUGCCCUUCGGGGAAAGUUGAGACAGGUGGUGCAUGGUUGUCGUCAGCUCGUGUCGUGAGAUGUUGGGUUAAGUCCCAUAACGAGCGCAACCCCUAUCCUUAGUAGCCAUCAUUGAGUUGGGCACUCUAGGGAGACUGCCAGGGAUAACCUGGAGGAAGGCGGGGAUGACGUCAAAUCAUCAUGCCCCUUAUGUUUAGGGCUACACACGUGCUACAAUGGCUGCUACAAAGGGAGGCGACCUCGUGAGAGUGAGCAAACCUCAAAAAAGCAGUCCCAGUUCGGAUUGUAGUCUGCAACUCGACUACAUGAAGUUGGAAUCGCUAGUAAUCGCGAAUCAGAAUGUCGCGGUGAAUACGUUCCCGGGUCUUGUACACACCGCCCGUCACACCAUGGGAGUUGGUGGGGCCCAACGCCGGUGACCCAACCGUAAGGAGGGAGCCGUCUAAGGCAAAACCAAUAACUGGGGUGAAGUCGUAACAAGGUAACC
rnacentral:rRNA from 1 species